rnacentral:lncRNA from 10 species
GCAGGGCAUGUAUGAGUAGUUGAGAAUGGUGGAGUAUGACUAGACAGAAAAUAGUAGGGAUGACAAGAUUUUUUUUUUGGGCGGUGGGGGCACAGUCUAAGUUGGGGCGUGGAAAUAAGGGAUUGGGGGUUUUUGCCCCGUAGAAAAGUGGGACUCGCCGCUAAGGGUGAAGGAGAAGGGGUUGAGGGGUAGUUGCCCCUCUCCUAGAAAAGCGGGACUUGCUGCUAAGGGUGAAGGACCAAGGCAGGCAUCCCUGGGUGGUCGGACACCCUU